UGCGCAGGCGGUUAUAUAAGACAGAUGUGAAAUCCCCGGGCUCAACCUGGGAACUGCAUUUGUGACUGUAUAGCUAGAGUACGGCAGAGGGGGAUGGAAUUCCGCGUGUAGCAGUGAAACGCGUAGAUAUGCGGAGGAACACCGAUGGCGAAGGCAAUCCCCUGGGCCUGUACUGACGCUCAUGCACGAAAGCUGGGAGCAAACA
rnacentral:rRNA from 1 species